GAUCAUGGCUCAGGAUGAACGCUAGCGGCAGGCCUAACACAUGCAAGUCGAGGGGUAUAGGGAGCUUGCUUCCUAGAGACCGGCGCACGGGUGCGUAACGCGUAUGCAAUCUACCUUGUACAGGGGAAUAGCCCAGAGAAAUUUGGAUUAAUGCCCCAUAGUAUUAUUAAAUGGCAUCCUUUAAUAAUUAAAGUUCCAACGGUACAAGAUGAGCAUGCGUCCUAUUAGUUAGUUGGUGUGGUAACGGCAUACCAAGACGAUGAUAGGUAGGGGUCCUGAGAGGGAGAUCCCCCACACUGGUACUGAGACACGGACCAGACUCCUACGGGAGGCAGCAGUGAGGAAUAUUGGACAAUGGGCGCAAGCCUGAUCCAGCCAUGCCGCGUGCAGGAAGACGGUCCUAUGGAUUGUAAACUGCUUUUAUACAGGAAGAAACACUGGUUCGUGAACCAGCUUGACGGUACUGUAAGAAUAAGGAUCGGCUAACUCCGUG
rnacentral:rRNA from 1 species